rnacentral:lncRNA from 1 species
UCAUCAUCCAUUCAACAUGUUGAGCUAGCAAUAGACUUAUCUAAAGCAAAAUAGUCUCAGCAGGAUUGAGCAAGUUUGGAGUCACAAACAAAAAGUGAAUGUUUAUUUAGUUAUAGUAUAUUGGUUUUGGUCAGCGAGUUAUUUUGAACUCUGUGGUCCAGGCAUACUCCAUAAAUUUCUCGCAUGGAUUAUUUCGUCAAGCUCUUUAUAAUCAAAUAAUUAUGGAAUAAUUGGAAUAUAAAAGUGAGGGGUCUGACCUUAACAGUAUUGUCUUCCCCACCAGAUACAACCCAUCGGCCAUCUGGAGUGAACCUGAUGGCAUUGACACCUCUACUGUGACCUUUGUAUGUGUGGAUACAUCCUUUGCGUCUGAUAUCCCAUAUCUUUAGGUUUGUAUCUAAAGACCCAGAUGCAAAGAACUCGCCAAAGGGAUGGAAGUCCAAUGAUAUGCAGUUGGAUCGGUGUCCAGUGAGCGUGCGAACAACUGACAGAGAGAGAGCGAGAAAGAGAUUAAUAUAUUUCUUAAACAACAGAAAAUGAUUUUUAACCCCAAUGAAAAGUAUUAUAACAAGCAUACUCUUGGCCUCCGAUAUCCCAUAUCUUUAGGUUUGUAUCUAGAGACCCAGAUGCAAAGAACUCGCCAAAGGGAUGGAAGUCCAAUGAUAUGCAGUUGGAUCGGUGUCCAGUGAGAGUGCGAACAA